AAAAAAAAAAAAAGGAAAAAGAAAGAUGAAAAAGAAAACGAAAAAACUUGUCAGCGAAUUGC
rnacentral:ribozyme from 1 species